AUGAAUCCCUCCUCGGCCCCGGGUCCGGACGGCCUUCCGGUGAAAUUCUUCCAGACCUUCUGGAAUGUGAUUAAGCCGGAAAUCAUGGCCAUCUUUGACGAGUUCUACGUUGGGACCAUCGACCUCGGGCGCCUCAACUAUGGGAUCAUCUCGCUCAUUCCCAAAGUGCCGGGGGCCUCCGACAUUCGCCAGUUCCGCCCGAUCACGGUGAUCAAUGUGAUCUUCCAGAUUCUGGCAAAGGGGUACGCCAAUAGGGUAACCCUGCUAGCAGACCUCAUUACCCACCCCAACCAGUCCGCCUUCGUGAAAGGGCGGUAUAUCCUGGAUGGGGUAUUAGUUCUCCAUGAAGUCCUCCACGAGGUGCGGUCUAAACACCUCAAGGCGGUCUUCCUGAAAAUUGACUUUCACAAGGCCUACGACACUGUUAGUUGGUCCUUCCUUCGGGAAGUUUUGCUCCGGAAGGGCUUCGAUGAUCGUUGGAUCACCCGGGUGAUGCAGAUGGUGUCCUGCGGGCGCACUGCCGUGAACAUCAAUGGGGAGAUUGGUCCUUACUUCCCCACCCUCUGUGGGGUUAGACAAGGUGAUCCUUUCUCUCCGUUCCUGUUCAACAUGGUGGUGGACGCGCUUGCCGCCACCCUAGAUAAGGCCAAAACCGCAGGCCAUAUUCGUGGGAUUACCCCUCAUCUGGCGGGCGGCUCCGGGAUCUCCAUGCUCCAGUACGCCGACGACACCAUCAUCAUGGUCGAGGGCUCGGACACGGACAUCGCUAACCUCAAGUUCCUUCUUCUCUGCUUCCAACAAACACUACUAGGAAAAGGCCUACUAGUGGCGCACCAGUUUUGCCUACUAAUGGUGCACUACUGGUGCGCCACUAGUACCACGCCACUAGUAUUAAAUACUAAUGGCGCACCACUGGUGCGCCAUUAG
rnacentral:rRNA from 1 species